UGGUAACGGUGUGCAUGACACA
rnacentral:piRNA from 1 species